AUUGAACGCUGGCGGCAGGCCUAACACAUGCAAGUCGGACGGUAGCACAGAGAGCUUGCUCUCGGGUGACGAGUGGCGGACGGGUGAGUAAUGUCUGGGGAUCUGCCCGAUAGAGGGGGAUAACCGCUGGAAACGGUGGCUAAUACCGCAUAACGUCGCAAGACCAAAGCGGGGGACCUUCGGGCCUCUCACUAUCGGAUGAACCCAGAUGGGAUUAGCUAGUAGGCGGGGUAACGGCCCACCUAGGCGACGAUCCCUAGCUGGUCUGAGAGGAUGACCAGCCACACUGGAACUGAGACACGGUCCAGACUCCUACGGGAGGCAGCAGUGGGGAAUAUUGCACAAUGGGCGCAAGCCUGAUGCAGCCAUGCCGCGUGUAUGAAGAAGGCCUUCGGGUUGUAAAGUACUUUCAGCGGGGAGGAAGGCGAUGUGGUUAAUAACCGCGUCGAUUGACGUUACCCGCAGAAGAAGCACCGGCUAACUCCGUGCCAGCCGCCGCCGUAA
rnacentral:rRNA from 1 species